GACGAACGCUGGCGGCGUGCUUAACACAUGCAAGUCGAGCGAGUGGCGAACGGGUGAGUAACACGUGGGUGACCUGCCCUGCACUUCGGGAUAAGCCUGGGGAACUGGGUCUAAUACCGGAUAGUGUGGGAUGGGCCCGCGGCCUAUCAGCUUGUUGGUGGGGUAAUGGCUACCAAGGCGCGACGGGUAGCCGGCCUGAGAGGGUGGACGGCCACAGUGGGACUGAGACACGGCCCAUAGUGAUACGGGAAGCAGCAGUGGGGAAUCGGGGGGAAUGGGGGGAACCCUGACCAAGCAAGGCCGCGUGAGUGAGGAAGGUUUUCGGAUGGUAAAGCUCUGUUGUUAAGGAAGCGGUACUUACCCAGAAAGCAACGGCUAACUACGUGCCAGCAGCCGCGGUAAUAC
rnacentral:rRNA from 1 species